ACAGGAAGCCAUGAACUUGCAAUUCCACCAUUUCUUCCAGUUGCUUUUGGAGAAUUCAGUUUCAAAGUGCGAGUUGAGGAUAACAUUCUGGCUUUCAGAAAUCAUAAAUAAUGAACGGCACAUUUGAGUCAUUAUCGGUGGUUAUCCCUCUUAGAGUCCUCUUUGGUGUGCUCCGACCUAAGGCACCCGUGGAGAAGGAGAAGGAGAUCUCAAGAGGAAAAAUCAAUGCAGGAACAAAGAAACUCUUGGGUCUAGUGAAGAGAGACUGGAUCUUGCUAGGCGAGUCAGGGAUGGGGAGCUGGAACUGGGAAAUGUUAAUUUGCAAGGGUCCCCUGUGUAGCAAGAGGAAACUGCACAUCCCUCUAGCCUGAACUCUGUCUUCAGAUCCCAGCUUCCUACACUCUCACCUGGAGAACUCCCCAAGUUCUUUCUUCUCCUUCAACAUUCCCAACAUCUGGGCUUCCUCUGGGUCCUGGUUUCAGAUGAUUUUCACAUGUCCAUUUCUUGCUUCUACCCUGGGUGAGUUAAAUUUGGAUGACAAUACCCAGAUCUUACAGUUUGAAGGAGAAUUAAAUGGAAUAAUAUGUGCAGAAGUGUUUCGUCAACAGCAAAGUGCAUUUAAAGGCAGAAUGUGCAUGUGAGACAGCCAAGUGUAAAGGGGUCCCCAGAGAAACUCCAACCGACCUGCACACUGGAAGGAGUGUGCACUGGGGUGGAGCCUCGGGAAGUUCCUGCCCUUUGCCGUAGGGAAGGAGCCUGGCCUCUCCUGUUCAGAGAUGGAAGCAGGAACUCAAUCUGUGAGGUGGGAAGCCUGUACUUGCAGGACUCUCACUCUGCUGAGUCCCUGUUUCCAGUUUUUCCCAUUUUUGCCCAAUAAAUUCUUUUUUUCUCACCCUUCA
rnacentral:lncRNA from 1 species